GCCGAGGUAGCUCAAUGGCAGAGCAAUGGUUUUGUAAACCAUAGGUUGGAGGUUCGAUCCCUCUCCUCGGCUCCU
rnacentral:tRNA from 2 species